GCCGCCAUGGUGANAUUGGUAGAC
rnacentral:tRNA from 1 species